rnacentral:rRNA from 1 species
UACAGAGGUCUCGAGCGUUAUUCGGAAUCACUGGGCUUAAAGCGUACGUAGGCGGAUUUGCAGGCGUCGUGUGAAAUACCUCAGCUCAACUGAGGAACUGCACGGCGAACCGCAAGUCUUGAGACAAGUAGGGGCGGUCGGAACGAUAGGUGGAGUGGUGAAAUGCGUUGAUAUCUAUCGGAAUGCCGAAGGAGAAAUCAGGCCGCUGGGCUUGUUCUGGCGCUGAGGUACGAAAGCGUGGGUAGCGAACGGG